GGGGGCUCGACGGUGGCCGACGUGGGACAGUCUGGCUGUGGCAGGGGUCUCGGAAACCAUGGGUUAUUGCAGUGGCAGGUGCACGCUUAUCUUUAUCUGUGGCAUGCAACUGGUUUGUGUGCUGGAGAGGCAAAUAUUUGACUUCCUUGGAUAUCAGUGGGCACCUAUCCUGGCAAAUUUUGUACAUAUUAUCAUCGUCAUCCUUGGUUUGUUUGGAACUAUUCAGUAUAGACCUCGUUACAUAACAGGAUACGCUGUCUGGCUAGUCCUCUGGGUGGCAUGGAAUGUGUUUGUUAUCUGCUUCUAUUUGGAGGCGGGGGAUCUCUCAAAGGAAACAGACCUUAUCCUGACAUUUAAUAUUUCAAUGCACCGAUCUUGGUGGAUGGAGAAUGGACCAGGAUGUAUGGUGACAUCUGUGACGCCUGCCCCCGACUGGGCCCCAGAAGACCAUCGAUACAUCACUGUCUCAGGGUGUUUUCUGGAGUACCAGUACAUAGAAGUGGCUCAUAGUUCCCUCCAGAUCAUCCUCGCACUGGCGGGCUUCAUCUACGCCUGUUACGUCGUGAAAUGCAUCACUGAAGAAGAGGACAGCUUUGACUUCAUAGGUGGCUUUGAUUCUUAUGGCUAUCAAGGGCCUCAGAAGACAUCUCACUUACAACUACAACCAAUGUACAUGCAAAUUCCCUUGGAUAACAACUGAUAGCAAAUUCUAUAUCUCAGCAUCAAGUGAUAUGCUGAAUUGCAAGAGAAGAUCAAAAUAGAAAGUCAAAAUAACACAGAUGACUUCUGUCUGUCAGCCCAUGGAUUUCUCAAUUGACUUGUGCAGUGGCCUCCUGCCUUUUAUGAAGAGCAAGAAGCAAAUGAAUUUAAAUACACACACACGUUAUUACCAGACCAAACGGGAAGUUUCUACAUAGACAUAUGUGUGAAAACACACACACAUACACUCACCACUAUCAUGAUCAUGCACACAUCAACUCCACUGGACCUCUGACUGAAGCUGAUAAAUAUGCAGGCUACGCCUAUCCUGGAUUUCCUUAAAGCAGGCUCCCUUCUCCCAGGCCUUUGAAGGUGGGAAAGGAGACGCGUUGGUGCCCCCUGUAGGCUGUUUCUUACUCCUCUGCGGCACAGCCUGUUGACUCUGGGAGGUGCCAAGUUAACCCAGGCACACUCGUUUGGAACCCUUUUCUGCACUCCAUACCAUACACGUUGGUAGCACCACAGCUACUUAGGCAACAUAAUUGCAAAAAAAUAAAAAUAAAAAAUAAAAAAAAAAAACAGACAGACAGAACAUGCUGUGAUGACCUUGUACCAAAUGUGAAAUGGCAGGAUGUUUGCCCUAAAGGCUAUACCGUACUUACUUGCCUUAACCCACCUGAGUUGUGUGCCCAAGACUCACAGUCCCCCAGUCACUUCCUUUAGGCUCACACACUGCUAUUAAUUCCGAACAAUUUGACUCUGUCUCGCGUCAAGGAAGAAGAUGAAAACUCUCAGCAGCCCCAAUGUGUCUGUGUAAGGAAAUGAUGCUUUACCACUGAGCCUCUUCGGUGGCCACAAAGAGACAAGUACCAACGGCAACAGCAGCUGUCAUCUUCAGGUCUCUGAAACAUGGUCUUCUGACGUAGUCGGGGUGAAACAAAGUAAAAUGUGUGAAUCUACUAAACUCGUUAAUCUACAGAAAGCAGAGAUGGCUUGACUGCUUGGUUGUAUCUCUUGCACGCUAGGUGCUUCCCUGAGUAUCGACAAAUGGCUUUUCCUAACACAGGAAACAGCUGUGGAUUUCUAUGACAGAGGCCAACUGACAAUGUAUUAGCUAUGUUUACUCUUUUAUAUCUAACUCAAAUCCAAGACCCGAUGUAGGUGAACUUUCUUUUCUAUCUUCGGCGUACAAGAUUAUUUUUGGGGCGGGUGGGGGGGAGCAAUAGCUAACUUAGUGAAAUCUUUGAGAUCUCUUUGUGGUAUUUGGGGGAUCUGUUGUGUGUUAGAGUGUAUUUCAAUCCUCCUGUAUUAUUGUGGCAGAAAAAAAAAAAACCUGUGCUGUUGACGUAGUUGGCAAUGAAAUGCCUUUGGAGACAAUAGUAGGUCAAUGUGUUUAUGGCAUAUUCUGAACUCCUAGAAAAUUUAGUUCUAUAUUUUCAAGCACCGUUUGGUUCUCAUUAGUGGGAAACAUAAUUAGCUCAAGCUUAUCAGUAACACAGAUGAGUCAUGUUUUCUUGGGUCCACUUGAGACACGAAAACUGAGUUUUCUUUACCACAUCAUCUUGACGUGCAGUGAAAUUCAGACCGAGAAGUUAAACAUUGUCAUAGAGUAACUUUUUUUUCUUUUGGCACUUACAAUUUUGCUUACGGGGUUAACCCUUUUUGCAGCUUAGCUCAUUCAGAUCUCCAUAAGACAGGUCAGUUGCUGUCUUUGCAAAGAUGUUUUGUGAAACAUGACCACAUACCCAUUUAAAAGCGAUGAAGGAACCGAAAGUAAAUAUCGGAACAUACAUCACUACGUGCGCAAAAAGAUUUCACCCCUAACACUUGAGUUUUCCCAGUGCCUUGUGUAUGGUGGCCCAUACCUACAGGCAUAAAGUGAACAGUUGCAAACACAUUGGUGAAACCUCAUAUGGUGUUUUUAUAGUAAGAUGCAUGUUUAAUGUUUGAAGAAAACUAUUCACCAAUGUACUGUCCCUUUUAUUCCGAAAAUACUAAUUCUAUACAUGCUAGACGUUAUUCUAAUGUCACUACUGAAGUGAGAUUUCACCGUCUUGCUACUGCGAUGGGAGUCCACCUUGUAGCGUGUGUGUAGGGAGGAAAUAAAAUAAGCCGUCACGUUUCUUUUUAAGUUGCAGCCAACUCACCACCAAGUCACUAUCUAUCAUCACCACCAAAUAUUUCAGAAACAGUUGUUGACUGCUAAAGAGUAGUCAGAGGGCGGGCCUUUUUAGGAGCAGCAAGCACAGUCAUGUGGUUGAUUCUAUCUGGGAAACAUCAAAGUUGUACAGCUGUAUCCUCCUCAAAAUCUGGUGAAGAAUGCUAUUUUUCUAGGCUGAGCUUUUGUUAUAAACCUAAUAUUCUGAAAGCAAGAGUUAAUAAUCCUGAUCUGUCUUUUUUUUUCCUCUCCUGCAUUUGUUAAUUCUGAAUGUAUUUUUAACAGAGUGAUUUUUUUGACUUACUAGUGUAAUUUGCAUUUUAAAAAUAAAUGG